rnacentral:rRNA from 1 species
GACAGAGGGUGCAAACGUUGUUCGGAUUUACUGGGCGUAAAGCGCGUGUAGGCGGCUUGGCAAGUUGAAUGUGAAAGCCCACGGCUCAACCGUGGAAGCGCAUCCAAAACUGCUUCGCUGGAGUCUCGGAGAGGAAGGUGGAAUGACUUGGUGUAGAGGUGAAAUUCGUAGAUAUCAAGCAGAACACCUGCGGCGAAGGCGGCCUUCUGGACGAUGACUGACGCUGAGACGCGAAAGCGUGGGGAGCAAACAGG